CAGAAAGAAAAAAGGACCGAAACUUUCAUUUUAGCUCCCCAAGACACCUUCGGGACGCCACAAAAUGUCUCCUGGCGGCUGCAGAUAAUGAGGAUUCUAUGGCGGAUGGAGCCCAUUACUAUGGAUUUAAGGGUGCAGUUACAAUGAAGACGACGGGCGACCAUCGACUGUAAUCACGUUUGGUUUAUAGGAAAAGAUUAUUAACUUCACAGCCAGGGGAAAGUCUUAAUCCAUAAGGACUAAAACUCAACCAACCCACUGAAAGGACUGAGGACAUAUAAAGACUAAAUUCACCACAGAUUCGCCGGUCUGCUUCUGAAAUCCAUGGCGAGAGAUACCCUUUGUAUAUCUCCAAAAAAAAAACUAACAAUAUUCAAAAAGCGUGUACUAAUAUCAGCAGGGCAAAAUUCAAAACUUAAGACACUCUACAAUUUAAUUUUCCUUUAGAGCUAAAAGGUGAUGGACUUCAAUGGUCUAUAAAGCAUGGACUGUCAUCCGGUUAAAUCAUUCCUAGCUGACUGGCAGAAUCUGCGGCUUCUGAACCAGCUUCCAACCAAAUUAAAAUUAACUCGACAGUCAGCUGCAAUUUUCGGUGAGUGACUAGAUUAAGAUAUAUACCUAAUCAUAUUACACACCUUAGUACCCUCAGACUUCUACUCCUCGAGAUUUUAUCCUAGCUGAGCUUAGUUAACGUACCACUAGGUUUAAAUAUAUAUAGAAGAUAAUACUAUCAUAUAGUAAAUACAGAUUUUUAGUACCUUUUGUUACUUUAACAAAGCUUAUUAGAAUUAUGUUUGUUUUC